CUCCGGUACAUGUCUUGAUAUUGGUCCAUUCGACAUCUGUGUGGCGAGUCUGCCUGGGGCUGGAAAUAAUGGUGGACCCCAACCUGUUACAGAGACCGAAGACCCGGAAUAACCCAUUUCAUUGCCUGGUGUACUGAAAUAAACCUCAUUAAGAGAU